GGAGUUUGGGCCGUGUCUCAGUCCCAAUGUGGCCGUUCACCCUCUCAGGCCGGCUACUGAUCGUUGACUUGGUGGGCCGUUACCUCACCAACUAUCUAAUCAGACGCGGGUCCAUCUUAUACCACCGGAGUUUUUCACACAACAAGAUGCCUCAUCGUGCGCUUAUGCGGUAUUAGCGUCCGUUUCCAGACGUUAUCCCCCGGUAUAAGGCAGGUUACCCACGCGUUACUCACCCGUCCGCCACUAAGUACUUACAAGACUCUGCCGAAGCUUUGUCAGCGUAAGUACUCCGUUCGACUUGCAUGUGUUAAGCACGCCGCCAGCGUUCAUC
rnacentral:rRNA from 1 species